UGGUGGGACCUGCAUCUGUUCCCGCCCGCGGGAUGGGGUCCCCCGGCUUUGUACGGCCACGAUGGGGCCGGAGAGGCCAUUGUGCCCACGAGCAAACCUGGCCGGGGCGGGGGGACGGGGGACCGUGGGGACAUGAAAGCGUCGCGCACCGAAAUCGCUUGAACCCCCCCGAGUCGCACACCGGAGAUUUAUGUCGCUCUUUGGCAGCGCUACCUAAGGGGGGGGGUGCGGGUUCGCUUUGCUGUGCCCGGCGAUUGCCGGCGGAGGGGAACUCCCGUUUUUCCUCCGGGCGCACCCGCCGCACAUCCCGGGCUGGAGAUAACGGCUCGGCUGCGGGCGCGCCGAGAACACGGCCCGCUCCCACCCCGCCGGCAACAGGGGCCACUUCGGGAUUUGCCCAGGGAAGGGCUGGAGAGCAGCUGGCUGCGGUAAUCUCUUCGGGAGACAAAGGAAUGCCCCGUCCCAGGAUCACAGGAAGGGAAUGCUAGUGGACCAAGUUUCUAUCUCGCGCAGAUUAAAAGAUCCGCGGUGAUAUAUCACUUCUCGCCUCCACCGAUGGGCCACCCCCAAAUUUCAACACAGAUUCUGCCGCUCUCUUCUCCCCGCCCCACUCGCUUAGUAAACUAGAUAUGAAGUGAUGUUUUUCUCCUGUCUCUCUUCCUUUCCCGGCGCUAACGCCACAGCAAAGUUUGCGAAGCAGCGCAGGCCACUUGAAAAGAUGUUGACGCUAGGUGGCAAAAGUAAUGUGCAGUGAAAACCGGCGCUGCUGCGGGAUGCGCCUCCCCGCUUCCCGCUGCCGAGGCUGGGCACCGUGGGGGCGGACGGCCGGGGCUCCGCUCCCUCCUGGGCCUCCCUCCGUACAUCCCUACAUCUGCGCGGUGCCUGCGGGAUGGCUGCUCCCCUCUCUGCCCAGAUACAACUCCCGGAUAAAAAAACCCAAUAAACUCAAACAUUCCUGUACAUUUAAACUUUCGCUUAUGCUUCGACUGGAGGGGAGGAAAAGAGCACCUGGAUGUGGAUGGCUCGUUCGACCACAAUUAGAUAUAAAAGACACGUGUUGAGUGGUGAAAUGUUGCAAAUAUCUGGAUGCUUGUUUAAGUGCCGGGGGUACCUGUCUGGGUUUGGGGUAGGUGCCACAAACCCCCACUAAAUGAACGUGGGCAGCUACAGUCCUGGAACAGUUGAGAAGAGCUGAGCUGAAUGAACUCAUUAGUGAUUUUCUUUUAAUUGGUAUUGCUCAAUGCUUUUACUUUCAGAAGUCUUUAAGAUUUUUUUUUUCUAGCGCAUUGUAAGAUAAUUUGUGAUCAAGACAUCUGCUUCAAUGAAAGUCACAUUUUGCCAUGCAAAUGCACGUUUCAACCCAAUAAAGUCACCAUAAUAAGGCUUUUAGCAUGGCAUACCUACAGUGAGGUUAUUGUAGCCAAACCCUUUCCUUUCGCAUACAAGCUUAAUCUGUGCUGAAAUGAUCUGUUACAAUUAAAAUGACAUUUACAGAGACAGUUA